rnacentral:rRNA from 1 species
AGAGUUUGAUCAUGGCUCAGAACGAACGCUGGCGGCAUGCCUAACACAUGCAAGUCGAACGAGCCCUUCGGGGUUAGUGGCGCACGGGUGCGUAACGCGUGGGAAUCUGCCCUUCGGUUCGGAAUAACAGUUAGAAAUGACUGCUAAUACCGGAUGAUGACGAAAGUCCAAAGAUUUAUCGCCGAGGGAUGAGCCCGCGUAGGAUUAGGUAGUUGGUGGGGUAAAGGCCUACCAAGCCGACGAUCCUUAGCUGGUCUGAGAGGAUGAUCAGCCACACUGGGACUGAGACACGGCCCAGACUCCUACGGGAGGCAGCUGUGGGGAAUAUUGGACAAUGGGCGAAAGCCUGAUCCAGCAAUGCCGCGUGAGUGAUGAAGGCCUUAGGGUUGUAAAGCUCUUUUACCAGGGAUGAUAAUGACAGUACCUGGAGAAUAAGCUCCGGCUAACUCCGUGCCAGCAGCCGCGGUAAUACGGAGGGAGCUAGCGUUGUUCGGAAUUACUGGGCGNAAAGCGCACGUAGGCGGUUAUUCAAGUCAGAGGUGAAACUCCCGGGGCUCAACCCCGGAACUGCCUUUGAAACUAGAUAACUAGAAUCUUGGAGAGGUCAGUGGAAUUCCGAGUGUAGAGGUGAAAUUCGUAGAUAUUCGGAAGAACACCAGUGGCGAAGGCGACUGACUGGACAAGUAUGACGCUGAGGGGCGAAAGC